rnacentral:piRNA from 2 species
AAGUGAAGAAAUUCAAUGAAGCG